GUAGGGUGCGAGCGUUAAUCGGAAUUACUGGGCGUAAAGCGUGCGCAGGCGGUUCGCUAAGUCUGAUGUGAAAGCCCCGGGCUCAACCUGGGAACUGCAUUGGAAACUGGCGAGCUUGAGUGUGGCAGAGGGGGGUGGAAUUCCACGUGUAGCAGUGAAAUGCGUAGAGAUGUGGAGGAACACCGAUGGCGAAGGCAGCCCCCUGGGCUGACGCUGACGCUCAGGCACGAAAGCGUGGGGAGCAAACAGGAUUAGAUACCCUGGUAGUCCACGCCCUAAACGAUGUCAACUGGGUGUUGGGGGAGCGAUUCCUCAGUACCGUAGCUAACGCGUGAAGUUGACCGCCUGGGGAGUACGGCCGCAAGGUUA
rnacentral:rRNA from 1 species